UCGUUCGGCAGUGGCUCCUCUGCUGCUUCGGCCCAGGGCCAGACAAGGGUUCCCAGCCCUUCAGAUCGCCCGGGGACCUCAGGGCACGACAGCCCCGCGCCCUGGAGAGACCUCCUCCACCGCCCCUAGGCCACGCCCCUGCUGCGUGCGACCUGGGCCUCUCGCCCAGCUGAAGACGUGCAUUUCCUUCCCCAGCCUGUGAUUGGCUUAGAAAGACACACGUGAUGCCUCGCUGGCCAAUGAGGUGUGAGGACGAUUGCCCUGGGGGAUUCUGGGAAAGGCUUUCUUCCCGAGACAGAGGGAGAGAGAGAGAGAGUGCGAGAGGAGAGAAGGAGAGAAGCGGAGAGCUCCGUGUCUGGUUAGUCGGCAAGGACUGUCAGAAUGGGUGGAAAGAUGCCUUUACGGGCCAUCUACAAGAUGUGCACCUAAAACGACGCGGCUGGAGAGAUCAAAAGCGAAGGACGUGGAGAGACAUCUGACGAAUGUGAGUGAAGGAAGCAAGGGUUGCGGGCCUCACGCUGUCCAGGUGGAAUGCACCGCCGAGACCCAGGACAGCGAGGCUGUUGGCACUGAGAAGGGAGAGCUGCUCAUGGGUGGGCGGUGGUGGUCUGCCGGUGGGGGGCCUCCAGCUCCCCUCACGCUUGGAGAGACGGACUGUGGGGGUGUCGUGGGGCAAGGCCGGGACAAUGGGACCCCCGAGCUGGUGGACAGCGCGUGGGGAGCUUCCUGGGUCAGCAGGUGGGGGCUGGCAGGGAGCCUCCCCGAGCACUCCCUCAGUUCUCCAUUCCCUUUUCCCUCGAGGACCACUCUUCCCAGGAGGAGGAGGGAACGGCGCCCAGAGGCUCCUAAAGGGGAGAGGGGCAGGGCUGGGGAGAGGCCUGGGAUUGGCCCCCGCAGUUGUGGGUCAGGACAAGUGGAGUGACGACGGAAGGCCGCCCUGGCGGCGUCCGGCACCUCCCCCAAGCCCGUGCCUUGUAGCUCCAACGGUGUGCAGGGGAAGCUCGGGGAGCCGGUGGUAGAGCUGCUGGGCACCGGCUGCUCCUGACCCAGGAACAGGGAUCGCUACCCCCCUUACAAUCACAGGGUAGCUGGCUUUGCACUUAUGUUUCAAGACUUCAUGCCAUGAUCUAAAAUAUUGCUUUCAUAAACUUGGAACGGACACAGGCAUGAUGGAGCCUGCAGUUUCCUUCAUAACCUAUUUUUUAAAUGUCAGGUUGCAUAAUGUGAAGGGGGCUCCUUAUGUUUUCCUCGUGGAUGUCGGGAGGCGAGGGGUUAAGAAGUACAGCAGGGAACAAAGUGUGGCCUGAUUUCAGACCUGGGUUCUCAGCCACCGGUUCCAGUUAGAGAGAUGAUUCAGGGAUUACAGACGCGGUCCUUUCUUAAACACACACUUCAGCUCUCCCCCUUUCCCUCAGGAGAGGUCUCGGAUGACCCCUCCCAGGCAGGAGGAAAAACCCACAGACCCCACCUGACCAGGGUGCAGACCUGGGGCAACCAGGAGGGAACUUGUGCCUGGAGGGUCGAGGGGAGGGUCUGGAGCUGGCACCUUCUUCACCGGGACCCCUGCUGUCCUCCCCAGCCAGCCCUCUGGCCUCCCGUGAUGGGCACCAGGUGGCCUCGGGCCUCUUUGCGGCCCUCCCAGGUGGCUGUUACGGUUUUAUGAGCCCAUUUUGCAGUUCAUGAGAGUGAGGUGAGGCGCAGGUGACCGGCUUGAGGUUACAAGGCUGCAGGUGGCGGGGAAGGAGCCAGGAUCUGUGGCCGCUGCAGGGACAUCCCUCAGGCUGGGGGCUCGCAGGGCGUGACGGGCGGGCGAACGUUGGGGUCACGCUGCAGCAAACAGGCCCCCGGGAUGUCGGCCGAGUGAAUGGAAACUUUCCGUGCUGGCAGCUCUCUGGUUCUCGUCACGUGCAUGUGUGAUGUCAGUGCAGGGGCUGAGAUUGGGUGUCUCUGAGACUCCCUUGCAGACUGUGCUGACACCCACCGAUGCUAUGUGGGGGUGCUGUUCUCUGCUGGAGUCAUGCCCUGGCCCCACUGCCCGGCUUUCCACGUGUGUCGGGUGAAGGGUGUCCCGUCCCUGCCCCUUCUUGUCAGGACUCCCCCCCGGUUAGGACCCCGUGCAGUUCCCGCCACCCGCUUCUACUGGCCCUGGUGCCUGUGGUGCCCGCACACCUGCCCUCCUUUACCCCUGGGGCCGAAGUGCGCCGGCCCCACCCCCUCCCCUCGUCCACUGGCAGGCCCUGCAGCAGGGCGCCGAGCACUCGGGGGCCCGGUGGCCGUGUGUUUCUUCCUCGGGAAUCCGGGCCAGGCUGUGCUUCCCCGUCCACUCUGACCUUCCUGAGGCCAGGGCCGUUCCUGUGAAGGGACAGCCACGGCCCCCUGCCACCUCUCUCUGGACCCGGGCCGGGUCUCCCAGGCAGCUUUCCACGGGGCCCGCUGGUCCCGCUGCCUCCUCCUCAGGGACUCGCAGGCUGUUUCUGGUGCCAGAAGGCUGGCCUUUCUGGGGUUUCGUCUCGUUGGAUCCGGCCAGCUCUCCCAGCCCUCUGAGACCUAAUGCGCUUCUGCUUUUGUGGCGCAGGGUGUCAGGGCCCCUCCCUGCUCCUCCCCAUCCGUGGACAGUCCUCCGCCAACCCCAGAGAGGGCUGUCCGUCCGGCGCCAAGCAGGAGGUCAGCCUGCUGACCGGACCCCCGACCAUCUCCACGGUCUCCUCCUGUUGUGGGAAGUGCGGGUCUGCUGGGAUUUUUUUACUCCACAGAAAGAUGACCGCGGACAGAGGAGUGAAAACUUUUAUUUCAAAAAGCCUCUGAUAUGGACACAGAAAAAACACAGGAAGGAGUAAAAAUAAAACUAACAAAUAAACAGGAUCCUGAAUAAAAUGUGGAACCAAUCACUCUCUUGAGGAAAAAGAGCUUUGGGUUAUUUUUUAUUAUUUUUUUUAAACACAUCGCUUUGUGUCACUGGAUGGCCCAGGGGUCCAGGCCUCUGAGUAGGUGGGGCAGGGGUCUACAGGGUAGCACCUUUGUUCUCGGGGUUUUCGGGUUGGGGAGUCACCGUUUUCUGCCGUUUUCUG